rnacentral:rRNA from 1 species
UACGUAGGGUGCAAGCGUUGUCCGGAUUUAUUGGGCGUAAAGAGCUCGUAGGCGGUCUGUUACGUCGGUUGUGAAAACUCGGGGCUUAACCCCGAGCCUGCAUCCGAUACGGGCAGACUUGAGUGUGGUAGGGGAGACUGGAAUUCCUGGUGUAGCGGUGAAAUGCGCAGAUAUCAGGAGGAACACCGAUGGCGAAGGCAGGUCUCUGGGCCACAACUGACGCUGAGGAGCGAAAGCGUGGGGAGCAAACAGG